rnacentral:rRNA from 1 species
UGGGGAAUUUUGCACAAUGGGCGCAAGCCUGAUGCAGCGACGCCGCGUGAGGGAUGAAGUCCUUCGGGUUGUAAACCUUUUUCGCUCAUGGUCAAGCCGCAGCUUUGGGUUGUGGUGAGGGUAGUGGGUAAAGAAGCGCCGGCUAACUACGUGCCAGCAGCCGCGGUAAUACGUAGGGCGCGAGCGUUGUCCGGAAUUAUUGGGCGUAAAGGGCUUGUAGGCGGUUGGCCGCGUCUGCCGUGAAAUCCUCUGGCUUAACUGGGGGCGUGCGGUGGGUACGGGUUGACUUGAGUGCGGUAGGGGUGACUGGAAUUCCUGGUGUGGCGGUGGAAUGCGCAGAUAUCAGGAGGAACACCGGUGGCGAAGGCGGGUCUCUGGGCCGUAACUGACGCUGAGGAGCGAAAGAGUGGGGAGCGAACAGG